AAUUCGCCCUUAGAGUUUGAUCCUGGCUCAGGAUGAACGCUGGCGGCGUGCCUAAUACAUGCAAGUCGAACGCACUAGCAAUAGUGAGUGGCGAACGGGUGAGUAACACGUAGGUAACUUACCUCUAAGACGAGGAUAACGACUGGAAACGGUCGCUAAAACUGGAUAGGAUAACGGGUGGCAUCACUUGUUAUUUAAAGGGGCUUUCAAGCCACACUUAGAGAAAGACCUGCGGCGCAUUAGUUAGUUGGUGAGGUAGAGGCUCACCAAGGCGAUGAUGCGUAGCCGGACUGAGAGGUCGAACGGCCACAUUGGGACUGAGCCAGGAUCAAACUCU
rnacentral:rRNA from 1 species